AUACUUUCCUGGCAGGAGAGACACCAUGAUUGUGAAGGUAGUUUUCCCAGGGAGAAGCUCAUCCAUUGCACUCUGGGUGUGCUGACCCCAGUGAUUUCCCCAAAUGUGGGAAACUUAACUGCUUAAUUUGCAGCAGNGGCUGCCGGCUUUAAGGGUGGGUGUUUGUGUCCCCAGCAA
rnacentral:snRNA from 1 species